AGCAACGAAAAUAAUUUUAUGGCUGGGGGUCACCACAACAUGAGGAACUGCAUUAAAGGGUCGCGGCAUUAGGAAGGUUGAGAACCACUGUGUUGUCCCCUUAAGCAUCCACAGCCCUUGGCCUUGGGCCCAGGCGGUGAGGCGUGACGUUUACUGCGCACGCGCGCCGAGCUCCACGACGGCCCCGCCCCUGGUCCGCCUGGACCAACCCCGCCCCGCCCUCUGGGGCGGAGCUAAGCACGGCUUCCGCCGGAAGUCCGGGCUCCAGCGGGAAACCGUACCCAGCCGGUGAUGCAGCUCCCUCCUCCAGUGACCGGCCGCUUCCGUGUCUUCCGCGCCCCAGUUUAGAUUUUCACGCCCAACUCUUAUCCAGUCGUGAUCACACCACAUCCCAGUGCCAGGUGCAAAUCACUGCACAACCCGAAGCUAGGAGAGGAGCCUGUGUCCCGCCCGGGGCGGCCCAGGGAGGUCCCCGCCCGCCUUUCCGACCUCAUCGGCCGCACUCUCCUACCUGUCCCCCGUGCACCCUCCGCCACCCCGGCCAUGGCGCAGAAGCCGAAGGUAGACCCCCACGUCGGACGGCUGGGAUACCUGCAGGCGCUGGUCACUGAAUUCCAGGAGACGGAGAGCCAAGACGCCAAGGAGCAAGUCCUGGCCAACCUCGCCAACUUCGCCUAUGACCCCAGCAACUACCAGUAUCUGCGACAGCUGCAGGUCCUGGAUCUAUUCCUGGAUUCGCUGUCGGAGGAGAACGAGACCCUGGUGGAGUUUGCUAUUGGAGGCCUCUGCAACCUGUGCUCAGACAGGGCCAACAAGGAGCACAUCCUGCAGACAGGGGGCGUCCCGCUCAUCAUCAACUGCCUGUCCAGCCCCAACGAGGAGACUGUGCUGUCCGCUGUCACCACCAUCAUGUACCUGAGCUCGCCAGGCCCCGGCUCCCACCCCGAGCUGACCGCCACGCCCGUGGUCCAGUGCAUGCUGCGCUUCUCUCUCUCGGCCAACACACGGCUCCGGAACCUGGCCCAGGUCUUCCUGGAAGACUUCUGUUCCCCGAGCCAGGUGGCCGAAGCCCGCCGCCGGCCGGCUCACUCUGCCCUGGGCAUCCCACUGCCAAGGACCGAGGCCCCACAGCAGCCCUGACCCACGGAGACCUCAGGGCCGCGGUUCUCUCACUGCCGGAGACAAGACCGAAAUCCUGGUGGGGGCUGGGAAGCAGGAGCAGCUUCGCUCCCACUGAGCACUUUCCCCCAAUUGGUGCCUUUCAGCCAUUUUAAAGAUUUCAUUCCGUUUCCUGACUACACCCAAGUAUCGGUCCCCAUCUGAGCACCCCAAUACUUCCAAGCCACUGCAACAGACGCAGUACAAAGGGAGCCUGGCGUCCCAUUCAUUCUAAGAUGACUUCCAAACACGCUUAAGAAAAGAGGAAGCAGUUACUGCACCAGCAAUACACACUGAGGACUUGUCUAUUUCCCCCUCCUUCACUGACACCGAAGUUUACAAACUAGACAUCAGCGGUCAUGAUCAUUUUGAGCUCAUGCUACGAACGGAAACCGGCUCCUUAGAGAACUGUCUGCAGAGGGAAGCCCGCUGGCCUCGGCCUUCACGGGUCGUGUUCACUGUGACCAAUCACUGAGCGGAGGACUUGGAGUAACGAGAAAAAGCAACUAGGCGGGCAGAACACCGAAACCACCUCCAAAAGAUGACACGGGACACAACAGUUCAAAAUCGGUACAUUUGUUUACUUGAAGCAACAGUCCAGGAUUGUGAAGUACAACACAGUUUUUAAGGAUGAGACUUCGUUUCAUGGUCAACACCAGCAGCAUGCACACGGCGUCUGGCUGUCAGAGCACUGCCCGAGGGGUCCGCGCUGUGAGGUCACGCCCUUGCUUGCUUCACGGACACUCGGAACCGGGCAGCUGGAGUGGACAUGGAGCGUCCCCUGCGGGACAGCAGGAGGCGUUGCUCCUGGGCCAGCCCAGUGAGUGCCUGGCUUCUUGCUUAAGGUUCAAAAAGAAAAGGCAGUGUCUUUGCUCUGCGGCAGCAAGGCAUGAGGCACAGGCCUCUCUGUGGUUCCAAACGGCACAGGAAGAGCUUUUAGCAAAGGGCAGGGACAAGUUCGGGCGACACCCAGGAGGUUCGGUAUAAAGAUAGCCCUGGGGGGGGGGGGGGCUGUAGGGAAGGUGCCUGUGGACUGUUUACUGGCCUGUCCGAUCAAGGCUUGGUAAACCCAAGUAAAGCUGACAAGAAAAGGGUUUUAAAAACCUCAGUACAAAAGAUCCUCCAAUACAUCUGGAACCAAAUUAUUUGUUUUUAAAAACACGGGACGAGGUUCACAAGGCUUUCCCGCCCACCUACUACUAGGAGCACUCAUGCCAUGGCCUACAGACCGGAGCAGGGCCGAUGAGGAACCUGCUCUUCAGAAAGAAAAAGGGGAAAGAAAGACAGCAGUACAUAAAGUGCUUCUUCUUUAAUGAAACAAAUCCAAAAGAUGUACAGUCAGGCUCAAGUUGUGCAGUUCACAAGCAUGGAGGAAACAGACAGACAAACAAAACGACGCGUCCGACAGGCGCGCUAGCCCAGGACCAGGCUGGACUUGCCGCCAGGGGGGUUUCUCCGCGACGGCACCGGGGCCGGCGCCACCGGGCUGGGCACGGGGGCGGCGGGCACCGGCUUCUCCUCGCUCUGCCCCAGGCUGGCCUGCAAGUCUACGUCCACGUUUUCUAUGGAGACAGAAUGAAAUGAAGGCUAACAGCGAUUCCCAGGGAAUCUGAAGGAUCUAAGGUUGUUUGUUUUUUAGGAAGACUCAAAACAUACCUAGAGACAGAAAGAAGCAAACCGCCGCCGCCAAUCAUGUCCCGCCACCCAGAAUUUACCACGGUUUGUGUUCUGCCAUAUGUGUCCCCAGGCCUCAUUCUGUGUAUGUUCUUUUCUCAAUUACACAAACAAGAAAGACAUGAGUAUUGUAAAUUAGAACAUCACAGACAAGCUCUAGAUCCCUGACUCCUAACCCACCUCCACGUGGGUCUCCUCGCCCUAUCCCCAGAGGGUUUGUUUUGGGCAUAUUUUACGUGUAUUUUAUAUCCAGCACGUGACAUAUAAUAUUGUUUUCCCUGUGUUUAACAUAAACAAUAUCAACUUCCUUUUUUUUUCACUCUUUUGCAAAUUUACCCAUAUUUAUACAUAUGGUCAUAAUUCACCUUGCUUAAUUGAAGUGCUUUAUUGUGUGUGUGUGUGUGAAUUUAAUAUAUCCAGUCUUCUACUGAGCAACCGGCCCAAGUACUGCAAACAAAACUGUAAUGCAAACAUUACCCAGCACCUUCCCAAGUGGCUGUGCCAUGUCCCACCUCGUACCCCCCAUCAAAGCAAUGUAUGCCCACCUGACACCUUUGCAUAUGCACCGCUUGGUAACCUCUUUGCUUUAAUAUUUGCCAGACUGAUGGGUGGGAAAUGUUACUGCGUUCAUGUUGUAUGUUACAUGUCCAUGAUUACUGGGUGAGGUUGAUUUUAACUACACAGAUGGCCAGUUGUACCAUCAUCUACAUUUAUUAACGAGUCCACCUUUCCCCUACUGGCUUGUAAUAACACCUCCAUUAACCAGGUCACUCCCAUCUCUCAUGAACUGGGCACUUUCCAUAUUAAAGUGUUUAGAAUUAGUGUAGUAUUGUCCAAAAUCCUGGAUACUGCUUGAUUGAUUCACUGGCUGAUUUGUGAAACUCCCAACAAGCAUAUAUUCUUAACCAGGUAGUUUACAAAGUCAGAGAUGUCAUUGGUUCAAAGAGUAACUGCAAGAGAAAAAACUCAGAAUUUUCUGCGGAAGGAAACUUCUAAGAAGAGUUUCAUAGUUUUAAGGCAUGUUCGAUUUUUAAUUUUUAAAGAAAAUCCAGGUCUGAUUUCAUUCAGUGUUAGACCACAUUCAGUUGAGUAUUCUAAUACCUGCCUUAGAAUAAUCACACACAGAGACACCUUUAGUAGCAGACAUGGGAGAAAAGCUUCCAUAAACUUAGAAAAAAGUUUUCCAAUCUUCACCUGAGGAUAUGUUUUCUUGACUUUAGAGAGAGGUGAGAGAGAAACAUCAAUCAGUUGCCUCCUGUAUGCACGCCAACUGGGGAUCAUACCCACAACUUAUGGAUGUGCCCUGACCAGUAACAGAACCCACACCCUUUUGAUGUAUGGGAUGCUGCUCCAACCAACUGAGCCACCCCGCCAGGGCUUAAGGACAUGCAUUCCCUCCCAGUUUGGGAGUUCCAAAGCCUGGAAGCAGUGAAGCCGAAAUAUUGGUUCUGCUAUAUACUAUGUAGGAACUCCAUAUGGACUCAUUCUGGACACCAAUGAAAAGUUCUAAUUUUAAAAAAAUACAUAGUUUCUCUAAGUUCUUCAAAGACCAAACAUUAAAAGUUCAUGUUCCUAAAACCACUUGUACCAAGUUUUUAUUUAGCCGACUGAAACUGAGAAGUCCAAGGGAGAAGUGGUCUUAGAUCAGAAACACACCAAAAUCUCAGACACAAGCUACUGCUGCUAGUCACAUGGCAUUUGAUGAAUUUCUGGAACAUUCUGCAGAAGUAACAUGAUAUGACACACAUAAUGGUCGAUAGUAUUGAACUACAAGUAAAACUCUAAUAGGAGGCUUUCCAAGACGACAGUCCUUACGGUUAUGAACUGAAGCUGGGGGAGAAAGGGCCGGCUACCCUUCGGUUCCUGUUGCUACACUCUUGUUACGCAAGCAACGGGAUCACAAGCAUCACCAUCAAGGACCCAAGUCCCACAAUAAGUGUCCCUUACAUAACCUAAGAAAACAUGUCCGAUAUACUACAAACACAAACAAAACACCCGAAACCCACAUUUUAAAAACAAUUCAAAAUAGAUGAAUACAGAGCAUGAACUCAGGCUGAGCCAACAGGCGAGCGGUCUCAUUCCUGCUGCGAGGACAUGGCCUGGCCUCCCCGCUGCACACAUCUACCUGAUUCUCCACUGUCUGCCGGGGCCAAGCAGCUAACGGCACUUCUAAAGGACACAAAAUUACCUUGCAGCGCUACCAUGGCAAUUAAUUCCCACAGAGUGGUUUUUAGCUCAAUCAGGCUCAUUUCCACCCAUUUUCUUUCGUUUAUUAUUAAUGGAACUGUCCUCUUUCACAACGAGGUAACAGCAUACCAAAAAAAAAAAAAAAAAGCGAAGGGAAAAAAAAGCACAUAUGGAGGUUAAAAACAGCAGGCCUUCACGUCCUCUUUCUUAUAGAUUUCCAAAGUCCUCCUGUGGCCACUCCUGUGUAAUUGCCCACAAGACGAAGGCAAUUUUCCUUAUAUCCAAACAAAAUCUGUUUUGUUUAAACAGAGCAGAAUAGCUUGGCUUUGAAGUAAACUUGGCAACAGAACUGGGGUUGACCUCUACUCCGCCAGAUGUGCCUUACAUUAUCAGGCCCUUUGUCAUUUUACGACAAAUAAAGUAAAAGUAGCAGCUAUCAGGAACACAAAAUAAUCAGGUGGCAAAAUGGAUGACAAUGGGAGAAAAAAAGAGGAAGGACUUGUCAUACUACACAAUUCAAUGUGCGAUUUACCCGAAGAAUCUCACACACUCUCCAGGCUCCCCAAAUCCCCAACUGUAUUCAUUGGCCAAAAUUAGUGAGUCAGGAUUGUGGCUAAAUAAGGUCUCACAGUGGAAGUAUUUCAGGAUUACACAAAGCAGUGGAAUCGAAAAGCCUAGAAGAUAUUUUACCUGCAGAACAGUCUUUUCAAAUGAAACAAAUUGGAUAUGAACAAAAAACAAACCCAUCUUCAGCCCGGGCACAGGGAAUGUGUCCAACGAGCAUGCGCCUGGGUUACGCUCACAGACGGUCAGAGCUCGCCCCACCCCGUGGAGACGCACCGCGAGCCCGGCCGGCGGGACUCAGUGGUUGAGCAUCGACCUAUGGACCAGGAGGUCACGGUCCGAUUCCGGUCAGGGCAGAAGCCCGGGGUGCGGGCUCCAUCCUGUGAGAAUAAACAAAUCAUCUUUUCUGCCAAAGAACAAUUUAGACAGCUGCCAUGUUGGCCGCAUGGCUUGCAGCUCCCCUGGGGGCCGCCAUCUUGAAACAGCCAAGGCCAACCCCUCUUUUUGAAUUAGCCAAUCGUGAAAGGCUGUGCGCCUGCGCUCCAAUCAAGAGCAAGGGACAGGUCACGUGGGUCAGGGAUUAUAAAGCCGGCAGACCACCUGCUCGGUGUGCGUGCUUCCAGACCAUGAAUGCGCUUCCAGACCAUGCGUGCGCACCCUUCUGCGGAGAGGUAAAGACACCUGCCUGCUGCCUGCCUCCGAGUGUGAUUUGUGUUCUACCAGGACCCCUGAAUUUGGGGGCUCGCGUUAUUUGUAACAAUCCCCAGCGUGGGGAGUGCAGGAGGCAGCCGAACCAUGAUUCUCUCUUAUCAUUGAUGUUUCUCUCUCUCUCCCUUCCUCUCUGAAAUCAAUAAAAAUAUUUAAAAAAAGAAAAGAAAAGCACCGUUUGAGAGGACAGAAGAGGAACGUGGCUCUUACACAUCUGCCUCCCUGGAGGCUGCAGCACAGGAUGUAAUGGCAGGAAGAGGCCGCGAGGCAGCCCCGGCAGGACCGGGGGCCUGAUAGCUGCAUUCCACCGAGUCCAUUUUUACCCGCUGCCGCCGCCUGGUGUGUGUCAACUCCGCAUCACACUUGUCAGGACUUCUCUGGCACUUGUUAGGGAAAUGCCAAUAACUACCUCACAGAUUAAAAUAAUUAAAUGGCAACAGCUCAUUUCCACAGGGAUGAAAAUUUACAUCUGCCCCCUAAAUCACCAUUUAUAAGAUCACCAGGUUUCCACUGUCUCGAUAAAUAAGCAGCUAUAUAUAUAUAU